rnacentral:rRNA from 1 species
UACGUAGGUCCCGAGCGUUGUCCGGAUUUAUUGGGCGUAAAGCGAGCGCAGGUGGUUUAUUAAGUCUGGUGUAAAAGGCAGUGGCUCAACCAUUGUAUGCAUUGGAAACUGGUAGACUUGAGUGCAGGAGAGGAAAGUGGAAUUCCUAGUGUAGCGGUGAAAUGCGUAGAUAUUAGGAGGAACACCAGUGGCGAAGGCGACUUUCUGGACGAUAACUGACGUUGAGGCACGAAAGUGUGGGGAGCAAACAGG